AAAUUGAAGAGUUUGAUCAUGGCUCAGAUUGAACGCUGGCGGCAGGCCUAACACAUGCAAGUCGAACGGUAGCACAGAGAGCUUGCUCUCGGGUGACGAGUGGCGGACGGGUGAGUAAUGUCUGGGAAACUGCCUGAUGGAGGGGGAUAACUACUGGAAACGGUGGCUAAUACCGCAUAACGUCGCAAGACCAAAGAGGGGGACCUUCGGGCCUCUUACCAUCAGAUGUGCCCAGAUGGGAUUAGCUAGUUGGUGAGGUAACGGCUCACCAAGGCGACGAUCCCUAGCUGGUCUGAGAGGAUGACCAGCCACACUGGAACUGAGACACGGUCCAGACUCCUACGGGAGGCAGCAGUGGGGAAUAUUGCACAAUGGGCGCAAGCCUGAUGCAGCCAUGCCGCGUGUAUGAAGAAGGCCUUCGGGUUGUAAAGUACUUUCAGCGGGGAGGAAGGUGUUGUGGUUAAUAACCGCAGCAAUUGACGUUACCCGCAG
rnacentral:rRNA from 1 species